rnacentral:rRNA from 1 species
CCUACGGGGGGCUGCAGUGGGGAAUAUUGGGCAAUGGGCGCAAGCCUGACCCAGCAACGCCGCGUGAGGGAAGAAGGCUUUCGGGUUGUAAACCUCUGUCCUUGGUGACGAAACAAAUGACGGUAGCCAAGGAGGAAGCCCCGGCUAACUACGUGCCAGCAGCCGCGGUAAUACGUAGGGGGCGAGCGUUGUCCGGAAUUACUGGGCGUAAAGGGUGCGUAGGUGGCCUUUUAAGUUGGAUGUGAAAUACCCGGGCUUAACUUGGGGGGUGCAUC